GACGUAGGGCGCGAGCGUUGUCCGGAUUUAUUGGGCGUAAAGAGCUCGUAGGCGGCUUGUCGCGUCGACUGUGAAAACCCGUGGCUCAACUGCGGGCCUGCAGUCGAUACGGGCAGGCUAGAGUUCGGUAGGGGAGACUGGAAUUCCUGGUGUAGCGGUGAAAUGCGCAGAUAUCAGGAGGAACACCGGUGGCGAAGGCGGGUCUCUGGGCCGUAACUGACGCUGAGGAGCGAAAGCGUGGGGAGCGAACAGG
rnacentral:rRNA from 1 species